UAAGUACUUCCUUUGUCCCAAAAUUUUUGUCUUAGAUUUGUCUAAAAAUGAACGUUUUUAAAUACCAAACCAUGAGAGUAGAUACAUGCAUAUCUAGACAAAUCUAAGACAAGAAUUUUGGAACGGAGGAAGUAUGAG
rfam:Hordeum vulgare subsp. vulgare, WGS project CAJW01000000 data, contig: morex_contig_1568511